GUUAUCAAGAAAGGCUGAGGGAAUAGACCCUAUGAAGCCUUAGCAACCCUUUCACUUGAAAGAAGGUGCUACAUUCUACAAAAAUGUCCAAAUAUUGGAAAUUUUUUGAUAGAUAA
rnacentral:ncRNA from 1 species